CAAUAGCGUAUAUUAAAGUUGUUGCAGUUAAAAGCUCGUAGUCGGAUUUUGGCAUCACGCCGUACUGUCUGCCGAUUGGUAAGUACGGUUUGGCGGGUGCUCUCCUUCCGGAGGCUCGUUCCCUUCUUCAUUGAAGGGUUCGAUGGUUCCGGGUCUUUUACUUUGAAAAAUUAGAGUGUUCAAAGCAGGCCUAUGCUCUGAAUAGGUUAGCAUGGAAUAAUAGAAUAGGACUUUGGUUCUAUUUUGUUGGUUUCUAGGGCCGAAGUAAUGAUUAAGAGGGACAAUUUGGGGGCAGUCCGUAUUUCGUUGUCAGAGGUGAAAUUCUUGGAUUUACGAAAGACGAACAACUGCGAAAGCUACU
rnacentral:rRNA from 1 species